AGUGGCAGAAAACAUCAUCGUUUCUGGAGGAAAUUAAAAGAUAGAAAGCUAAAGACUGGAGGAAGAGACAUUGGGAAACUUACUUUCAGGUUAGGAAAUUGAACGGCUCUCUUUCUGCUUAAACCUACAGAGCUUUUCUCAGCAGAAAUUAGGCUCUGAAAUCGGUAAGCAAAAAUAAGUUGCCAAGAAGGGAAAUCCCCACCUCCAGUCAUCUCUCACUGCAGCUCCUGCUUACCUUACUUCUUACAAAACAUAACUCUAGUCAGGGUUCCAUUUCCAUGCCAUGAAUUGGGGGUUUCAAGGAAGAAAGAUAUGGGGGUUCUAAGAAGAGAGCUGGCUUUGCUUAUCUCUUCUUCUUCUGUUGAUAAUGUCACAGUUAGAGACUCCAUGUUAUGCUGUUGGGCAUGGAAAGUUUAGUAGCUUCAGAGGUGGGUCUAGUUCUGAGCUGAAGAACAAUCCUGCAUGUCUAAUAGUAUCGGUGGCCUCAAAAGAAAUGCAUAUAAAGAUGGUAAUAAAGAGGAAAGUCUAUACAGGACCCAAUCCUAUACAGAACAGAUAAGUUACUACAGCUUGUCACCAACCUUGAAUUCUGCUGUACUUUUUUUUUUCUGAUCUCUUUCAUGAACAUUUUUUAUGCUUGGAGUUUUUGCUGAAAUCUCCACAGUAAACGUUUCAAGUAGCCUUGCUGAUGUUUAGGUUACUUAUAUUUGUUAAAAUUACAAAGGAAGAAAUUAAUGCUACUGCUUUCAAAUAAAUUAAUAAGUUUUUGCUGAAAUCUCCACAGUAAAUGUUUCAAGUAGCCUUGCUGAUGUUUAGGUUACUUUUAUUGAAAAUACUAUUACGUUAAAUAUAUAAAAAAAUUUAAUUUUUUUCCUUUAAAAACACAGUUAAACUACACGACCAAAUAAAGAAAGCAAAGGAGAUGUUGCAGGGCAUAUGGCCGGUUGUCUGCAGGGACGCUUGCCAUUCAACACAUGCGAAGUAAUGGGCAGUAGGUUUUGACAGUUUAAGACAAUAAAGAAUCUUAUGCAACCUUUUGCUUUAUGGAGGAUCUGAGUUUAAGGGGGGAAUUUUACAUGGCAAUGCUGCGACAUUGCAUUGCUAACCACCAGCCUCCUCCUUGUAUAUAUCACUUUCUGAAUCGUUCGAUGGGAACAUUAUGUUUUGUUCCUGAGGAAGAAGGGGAACCAAUCCGAGGUGGGGAAACUCUAGAUGGAGUUGCUGCUGCCUAGGAAAGAUGAAAGAAUCCAAGCUAAACAUGAAUAAUCAUCGCAAGCAUGUGGAAUUGAAGUGCGCAAUGUAAAAAGUAUGGUCACCAAAGUGGUCUGAAAAAAAGAUGUUAUAAUGCUCAAAGAAGAGAGUGGUCUACAAAGAAGAUGAUCCCCUUACUGCUACUGUGGCAAAAACAGAUGAUAGCGAGAGUAGAGUAAAAAAUUCAACUGAAACGAUAUUCAUAGCUUGAAUGAGCUAUACCUGGAGGAACCCCAUCUUUCUUACAGCCCAGCAACAAAGAUCAGCUGUUGGAGUGCCUGGAAAAAAAGAAGCUGGGAUUUGGAAAAUAUGAUGGGAGCUAGCUGGGUUAUUAUUCUGAAAACUCUCAAUAAUGAAUUUCUUGAAAAAUUCAUGAUUUUCGACAGGAAAAGUGUGUAUUGCAACAAUAAACUUUGCAUCCUCCCAUUUAUCCCUUCCCAAUUUCUCUUUGAUUGUAUAUGCCUCGUUGAUUUCUUCUAUGUAAUGGUUGAGGUGCAAGUUUAUAUUCC